GAUGAACGCUGGCGGCGUGCCUAAUACAUGCAAGUCGAGCGAACAGACGAGGAGCUUGCUCCUUUGACGUUAGCGGCGGACGGGUGAGUAACACGUGGAUAACCUACCUAUAAGACUGGGAUAACUUCGGGAAACCGGAGCUAAUACCGGAUAACAUGUUGAACCGCAUGGUUCAACAGUGAAAGACGGUCUUGCUGUCACUUAUAGAUGGAUCCGCACCGCAUUAGCUAGUUGGUAAGGUAACGGCUUACCAAGGCAACGAUGCGUAGCCGACCUGAGAGGGUGAUCGGCCACACUGGAACUGAGACACGGUCCAGACUCCUACGGGAGGCAGCAGUAGGGAAUCUUCCGCAAUGGGCGAAAGCCUGACGGAGCAACGCCGCGUGAGUGAAGAAGGUCUUCGGAUCGUAAAACUCUGUUAUUAGGGAAGAACAAAUGUGUAAGUAACUAUGCACGUCUUGACGGUACCUAAUCAGAAAGCCACGGCUAACUACGUG
rnacentral:rRNA from 1 species